UGUUUCGGCUAGGGGGUCAUCCCGACUUACCAACCCGAUGCAAACUACGAAUACCGAAGAAUGUUAUCACGGGAGACACACGGCGGGUGCUAACGUCCGUCGUGAAGAGGGAAACAACCCAGACCGCCAGCUAAGGUCCCAAAGUCACAGUUAAGUGGGAAACGAUGUGGGAAGGCACAGACAGCCAGGAUGUUGGCUUAGAAGCAGCCAUCAUUUAAAGAAAGCGUAAUAGCUCACUGGUCGAGUCGGCCUGCGCGGAAGAUGUAACGGGGCUAAACUGUGCACCGAAGCUGCGGCAGCGACACUAUGUGUUGUUGGGUAGGGGAGCGUUCUGUAAGCCUGCGAAGGUGGCCUGUGAGGGUUGCUGGAGGUAUCAGAAGUGCGAAUGCUGACAUAAGUAACGAUAAUGCGGGUGAAAAGCCCGCACGCCGGAAGACCAAGGGUUCCUGUCCAACGUUAAUCGGGGCAGGGUGAGUCGACCCCUAAGGCGAGGCCGAAAGGCGUAGUCGAUGGGAAACAGGUUAAUAUUCCUGUACUUGGUGUUACUGCGAAGGGGGGACGGAGAAGGCUAUGUUAGCCGGGCGACGGUUGUCCCGGUUUAAGCAUGUAGGCGGAGGUUCCAGGUAAAUCCGGUACCUUUUUAACGCUGAGGUGUGAUGACGAGGCACUACGGUGCUGAAGUAACAAAUGCCCUGCUUCCAGGAAAAGCCUCUAAGCAUCAGGUAACAUUAAAUCGUACCCCAAACCGACACAGGUGGUCAGGUAGAGAAUACCAAGGCGCUUGAGAGAACUCGGGUGAAGGAACUAGGCAAAAUGGUGCCGUAACUUCGGGAGAAGG
rnacentral:rRNA from 1 species